UGGGGUCUCUUUGACAGACCUGGAGCAGGUAUGUAGUGUCUGCUACUCAGGUUUCCACAACAGGUGCAAGAAGAAAGCAUCCUCAUGCUGUCUAUCUGGGAUUGUGGUACCCAGAUGGAAUGGGGGAAAUAUUU
rnacentral:snoRNA from 1 species